rnacentral:rRNA from 1 species
CCUACGGGGCGCAGCAGUGGGGAAUAUUGCACAAUGGGCGCAAGCCUGAUGCAGCCAUGCCGCGUGUGUGAAGAAGGCCUUCGGGUUGUAAAGCACUUUCAGCGGGGAGGAAGGCGUUAAGGUUAAUAACCUUGGCGAUUGACGUUACCCGCAGAAGAAGCACCGGCUAACUCCGUGCCAGCAGCCGCGGUAAUACGGAGGGUGCAAGCGUUAAUCGGAAUUACUGGGCGUAAAGCGCACGCAGGCGGUCUGUCAAGUCGGAUGUGGAAUCCCCGGGCUCAACCUGGGAACUGCAUUCGAAACUGGCAGGCUAGAGUCUUGUAGAGGGGGGUAGAAUUCCAGGUGUAGCGGUGAAAUGCGUAGAGAUCUGGAGGAAUACCGGUGGCGAAGGCGGCCCCCUGGACAAAGACUGACGCUCAGGUGCGAAAGCGUGGGGAGCAAACAGGAUUAGAUACCCCGGUAGUC